GACGAACGCUGGCGGCGUGCUUAACACAUGCAAGUCGAACGGUAAGGCCCUUUCGGGGGUACACGAGUGGCGAACGGGUGAGUAACACGUGGGUGAUCUGCCCUGCACUUUGGGAUAAGCCUGGGAAACUGGGUCUAAUACCGGAUAGGACUACGCGAUGCAUGUCGUGUGGUGGAAAGCUUUUGCGGUGUGGGAUGGGCCCGCGGCCUAUCAGCUUGUUGGUGGGGUGAUGGCCUACCAAGGCGACGACGGGUAGCCGGCCUGAGAGGGUGUCCGGCCACACUGGGACUGGGAUACGGCCCAGACUCCUACGGGAGGCAACAGUGGGGAAUAUUGCACAAUGGGCGCAAGCCUGAUGCAGCGACGCCGCGUGGGGGAUGACGGCCUUCGGGUUGUAAACCCCUUUCAGCACAGACGAAGCGUAAGUGACGGUAUGUGCAGAAGAAGCACCGGCCAACUACGUG
rnacentral:rRNA from 1 species